CCUGCCUGCUACUCAAGUAAAAUGUAUAAACAGAAGACAUGAGGGGGACCAGGAUGACGCGUGGUCAAAUGUCUUCUGUGCAGUGGUUGCCUGCUUUCCUUCGGGGGCUGUUUUAAGGAUCGAUGCUUGCUGAGAUGAAGGCAAGACAGUCUAAACAGUUCCAGAGACCAGGACCUGGACAUCUUUGGGAGGCCAUCAUUCUGCCUGCCACAACAUGGAACAAGAAUAGAAGUUGGACACAUAACCAAUGAGAUUUUAAACUGAUGUUGAACAUGAGCACAGCAGUGAGUGGGAGACGUGUUCGGA